rnacentral:sRNA from 1 species
GGGCUCCCAGCGCUAUAAAAACUUUAUAAACCCCCCGGAGCCCGAGCAGUGUGAAGAAGAGGCGAGAACGACCCCCGGACCGACCAAAGCCCGCGCGCCGCUGCAUCCCGCGUCCAGCACCUACGUCCCGCUGCCGUCGCCGCCGCCACCAUGCCCAAGAGAAAGGCUGAAGGGGAUGCUAAGGGAGAUAAAGCAAAGGUGAAGGACGAAGUAAGUCAUUCUCUCUUCAAGGGUCAAAGCCUUGGACUAGCAGAGGCCACUGGACUCGGUGAUUAACCGUAACCUGUGUCCUGAAUUUACACUCCUAUAAUCUAGAGCAAAUUGAUACCAAACUUUCAAAGCGACUUACCUGUCUUAUUUCUAACUUUCUCGUUGUCUUUAUAGCCACAGAGAAGAUCCGCGAGGUUGUCUGCUGUAAGUGUAUGCUUUUGAAUUUUCGUGCUUGUCUCUGAAACUAAAAAACAUCAAAAAACAAUUCCCUUUGCUUCCAUGAAUUAUGGUUAGUGCCUGGUUUUGAAUCAUUGCCUCUACUUGGGACUCUUGCCCCUUUGGGUUUUGCUGGUUCUGAAAUUCUGAUGCCUGUAGCCAAAGUGGGACAUUUGAGUGGGCUUCUGGAAAUCCAACAUUCUAGAAGAAAGCCAACCACAAAAACUUUUGAGGAGGAGGAGAAACUUCUCUACCCUUGGUACUUUUGGUUGGUUGUGGGUGGUUUUCUUCAGUCCAUUGUACUGAUGUUCACUUUUUCCUCUCUUCCUGCCAAAAAAAGAAACCUGCUCCUCCAAAGCCAGAGCCCAAGCCUAAAAAGGCCCCUGCAAAGAAGGGAGAGAAGGUACCCAAAGGGAAAAAGGGAAAAGCUGAUGCUGGCAAGGAGGGGAAUAACCCUGCAGAAAAUGGAGAUGCCAAAACAGACCAGGCACAGAAAGCUGAAGGUGCUGGAGAUGCCAAGUGAAGUGUGUGCAUUUUUGAUAACUGUGUACUUCUGGUGACUGUACAGUUUGAAAUACUAUUUUUUAUCAAGUUUUAUAAAAA